rnacentral:rRNA from 1 species
GACGAACGCUGGCGGCGUGCUUAACACAUGCAAGUCGAACGAUGAAGCCCAGCUUGCUGGGUGGAUUAGUGGCGAACGGGUGAGUAACACGUGGGCAACCUGCCCCAAACUCUGGGAUAACUCCUCGAAAGAGGUGCUAAUACCGGAUACGAACUAGACAGACAUCUGUACUAGUUGGAAAGUUUUUCGGUUUGGGAUGGGCCCGCGGCCUAUCAGCUUGUUGGUGAGGUAACGGCUCACCAAGGCUACGACGGGUAACCGGCCUGAGAGGGCGACCGGUCACACUGGGACAGAGACACGGCCCAGACUCCUACGGGGGGCAGCAGUGGGGAAGAUUGCGCAAUGGGCGAAAGCCUGACGCAGCGACGCCGCGUGAGGGAUGAAGGUCUUCGGAUCGUAAACCUCUUUCAGUAGGGACGAAGCGAAAGUGACGGUACCUAAAGAAGAAGCACCGGCUAACUACGUGCCAGCAGCCGCCGUAA